rnacentral:lncRNA from 1 species
UUUUUGGCUUCCUGCCAGGAAUCCUACAGCCUCCAUUGUUAGAAACACAGAUAAGAGUUUAUCAUGGUUUUCCUUUGAGAGUCUCCACAAAGCAGCUGACUUGGCAGAUGCAGACACCCAUAGCCAAACAAUGGAUGAAGCUUGGGGAGUCUUAUGGAAGAAGAAGAGGAAGGAUAGCAGGCCCUGGAGGGGGUUGGAACUCCACAGAAGACUAACCAUGUCAAGUAACCUGGACCGUUGGAACUCUCUAAGACUGAUCUACCAACCAAAGAACAUACAGGAGCCAGACCUAGGCCUCCCUGCACAUAUGCAGUAAAUAUGCAGAUUGGUCUUCAUGUGGGUCCCAAACAACUGGAACAGAGGAUAAUCCAAAAUCUAUUGCCUGUCCAUGGGAUAUGUUUUUCAAGCUGGGCUUCCUUGUCUGGCCUCAGUGGGAAAGGAUGAACCUAGCCUUGCAGAGACUUGAAGUGACAGGGUGGG